AGUUCUCCUGCAUAUAAUCUUGCAAUGGAACAAACUACCUCAGAUCUCUCGUGAACGUCAUUAACAAGUCUAUAUAAAGUCAUAAAUUGGGGGCCGCGAAUUAAGACAAUUGCAAAACAUGGCAAUAUUGAGUGUUGUUGUAAUACUCGGUCUUGAAUCGUCUUGUUAUAGAAUUCAGCCUGUCGCUGGCUGAAGAUACCUUCGUUGUGCACAUUUUGCUCAGCUAAGUUUUGUUUCGCACAGUUCUCGACCUCUGUUAGGUCGCAUUCGGUGAGCUACUGAUCGACCGUACAAAUAUAAACUUAAACACUACUCAAGUAUUUACGUACAACCAUGUAUAUGUAUAGAUGCUAAUUUCUUUGCGAAUGUGAAUUGCAAAAUAUUUCGCUUCCUUCUUGUUAUGUAUGACUGUGAAACCCGCUUGGAUCGCUAUUGUUUGUGCUGGCGUUAAAGCGUGUGGGAAAGUGUACCGACGAGGAAAAACUCAAUCGAAAUUUUGCAUUUGGAUUGUGGCUUUAGGGUUUCUACUCAGACAAUGAAGGGUGUACGGUGAAGCGAGAAUCUUGGGCGAGAUUUGGCGCAGUAAGUCGAACGAUCAUCAAAGGUUAAGAGAUGAUUAAAGUUGCAUCUCAAAUCUUCACGAAGGAAUUACCAGUUCCCCUUCUUAAACCCAAACUAUUUACUUGGGUUCCGGGAGAGAGGACUACAGACUCUAUAUGCACGAUGACUUCGUAAAAUCGAAAAGGGCGUUACCCCUAAUCCAUUAGAUGGGUCCGAAAUAAAAGGACCUGAGCCAAGGUUUGAUUCUCUGAAAAGAAAAGAAAAGAAAAGAAAAGAAAAGGAAAAAAAAUAGGCUUACGUAUUCAAAUUUGUCAUUUGUAUCCGUUUCAAGUUUGGCCAUCCGUUAUAAUUCUUGUUUCCAUUUGAUUUUAUUUUCGGCUGUGAUGUUUGUCUACACUAGAAAACGAUGAUUUGAAGUUUUCUUCGUAUUCAAAUGAGAUUUCCUCAGAGGCUAAAGAAGAGUCAAAAUAUCACGGUGCAACUUAUUUCAAUCUUGGCCAUCCGUUAAUUAAACCCUCUGUGGUUUUUUUCUACGUUAGCAGCAGGUUAUUUUAAGGUUUCAUGUUAUUUAAAGGAGAUUCUUUCUGGAGCUUAAAAUAGUUCAAAAUAUUGUAGCGGCGAUCUGUUUUGGUUUUGGCCGUUCAUUAAUGUUCUUGUUCCCCUGUGUUUGAUUAUUUCUUCGCUGGGUGUUUGUCUGCACCAGAGAAAGGUUAUUUCAGGAUUUUGUCAUUCAUACAAAGGUGAUUCUCCCAGAGGCUAGCUGAAAACGGUUCAAAAUGUCGUGCAGUAAGGCUCCUGUAACAUUACUCUCGAUUGGGCCGCGAGGCUUCCCAUUUUGCGGAAUUUUUAUGAUUUAUAACCACGAUUAAAUAAUUCCAACGUCUUUUCCGUUCUUUUUUUUUUUUUUUUUUUUUUUUUUUUUUUUGUGCAGGCUGGUCAAACAUACAGCGCAGUUUUUUUUACUAUUUGUAACUUAACCCGUUCAUACCAGCUUUAACUCUUGUUUAGCUGCGUUAGUUCAAAGAUCAAAGAAAUUCGCUCGGGGUUUGAGCAUGAGUCACAAUCGCUAAGUUUAGACGCGGCUGAUUUAAGUAUGAAUUACUUGAGGCAAGUAAAAUUCUUAAUGGUACUUAACCAUCAGUGUUAUCAACACGUUUUUUUCUCUGGCGUGAGCAGGUUACUAUACCUGAUGUUCGAUAACGUGUUAUCUUAGUUGUUAGAAUUUUAUUUUCCUCUCUGCUCUUUCUUUUAUUUGUUUAUUUUUCUUAAUUUUUAUCAUCGACUUUCAAUGAUGCAACGGGCCCAAUAAAUUUCAAUGACCUUUGGCAUCUCGUGCAAUUGUGAAAAGGAAAAUGUACAAAUUUCGUUGAUGUUUUCCUUAUAGCCUUGAUGUAUAAUUUAUGUUGUUUUGUCACUAAUUUUCUCGCCAAGUAUGUUUAGUUUCUCUUUGUUAUUUAUUUAUGUUGUAAUUUCUAUUGAAUCCAUCUAAUAAUAUCUUUCAUUAUGAUGUCAGCCCUUUCCCAACCCAUCUCCACAGGGACAAAUAUUAUUGUUGAACGCUUAAAAAAAAAAAAAAAACAUUGUCCCGCUUGGCUAAGUUUGCUUGUGUUUAAAAAAUAUCUUUUUACUAAGUUAAUUCCAACUCUCGCACAAUUUUUAAAAAUAAAUAUCCAGCUGUCCACAUC
rnacentral:misc_RNA from 1 species